UGAACGCUGGCGGCGUGCCUAAUACAUGCAAGUCGAGCGAACAGAUGAGGAGCUUGCUCCUCUGACGUUAGCGGCGGACGGGUGAGUAACACGUGGAUAACCUACCUAUAAGACUGGGAUAACUUCGGGAAACCGGAGCUAAUACCGGAUAAUAUAUUGAACCGCAUGGUUCACUAGUGAAAGACGGUUUUGCUGUCACUUAUAGAUGGAUCCGCGCCGCAUUAGCUAGUUGGUAAGGUAACGGCUUACCAAGGCAACGAUGCGUAGCCGACCUGAGAGGGUGAUCGGCCACACUGGAACUGAGACACGGUCCAGACUUCUACGGGAGGCAGCAGUAGGGAAUCUUCCGCAAUGGGCGAAAGCCUGACGGAGCAACGCCGCGUGAGUGAUGAAGGUCUUCGGAUCGUAAAACUCUGUUAUUAGGGAAGAACAAAUGUGUAAGUAACUAUGCACGUCUUGACGGUACCUAAUCAGAAAGCCACGGCUAACUACGUG
rnacentral:rRNA from 1 species